GGAUCAGUUCGCUGGUCGUGCCUCUGGUAUGUACUGGUGUUACUGGUUCCUCCCUUCUGACGAACUGUCAUGUCAUUUAUUUGGUGUGGCAGGGAAUCAGGACUGUUACUUUGAAAAAAUUAGAGUGUUCAAAGCGGGGCAUUGCCCGAAUACAUUAGCAUGGAAUAAUGGAAUAGGACGUGCGGUUCUAUUUCGUUGGUUUCUAGGAUCGCCGUA
rnacentral:rRNA from 1 species